ensembl:snRNA U6 U6 spliceosomal RNA
GUGCUUGCUUCAACAGCAUAUAUGCUAAAAUUGGAACAAUACAGAGAAGAUUAACAUGGCCCCUGUGCAAGGAUGACACACAAAUUUGUCAAGUGUUCCAUAUUAAA